UACGUAGGAGGCAAGCGUUUGUCCGGAAUUACUGGGCGUAAAGCGCGUGUAGGUGGUGGGACAAGUCUGCUGUGAAAGCGCCUGGCUUAACCGGGCGAGGUCGGCGGAAACUGUCCGACUCGAGGACGGUAGAGGGGGUGGAAUUCCCGGUGUAGUGGUGAAAUGCGUAGAGAUCGGGAGGAACACCUGUGGCGAAGGCGGCGUCCUGGCCUGCGACUGACGCUGUGGCGCGAAAGCUAGGGGAGCAAACGGG
rnacentral:rRNA from 1 species